CGCGGGGUGGAGCAGUCCGGUAGCUCGUUGGGCUCAUAACCCAAAGGUCGCAGGUUCAAAUCCUGUCCCCGCUCCCA
rnacentral:tRNA from 1 species